CAGUUUUAUGAGGUAAAGCGAAUGAUUAGAGGCAUGGGGGUUGAAACAACCUUCACCUAUUCUCAAACUUUAAAUAUGUAAGAAGUCCUUGUUACUUAAUUGAACGUGGACAUUCGAAUGUACCAACACUAGUGGGCCAUUUUUGGUAAGCAGAACUGGCGAUGCGGGAUGAACCGAACGAGGGGUUACGGUGCCGGAGUACACGCUCAUCAGACACCACAAAAGGUGUUAGUUCAUCUAGACAGCAGGACGGUGACCAUGGAAGUCGGAAUCCGCUAAGGAAUGUGUAACAACUCACCUGCCGAAUGAACUAGCC
rnacentral:rRNA from 12 species